GGCCUUCUGUCGGAAUUGGUAGACGAGAGCGACUCAAACUCGCUUGCCGAAAGGCGUCCCGGUUCGAGUCCGGGGAAGGCCACCA
rnacentral:tRNA from 1 species